rnacentral:rRNA from 1 species
UGUGUAGGCGGUUCUUUAAGUUUGGUGUGAAAUCUCCCGGCUCAACUGGGAGGGUGCGCCGAAUACUGAGGGACUCGAGUGCGGGAGAGGAGAGUGGAAUUCCUGGUGUAGCGGUGAAAUGCGUAGAUAUCAGGAGGAACACCGGCGGUGUAGACGGCUCUCUGGACCGUAACUGACGCUGAGACACGAAAGCGUGGGUAGCAAACAGGAUUAGAUACCCUGGUAGUCCACGCCCUAAACGAUGCAUAUUUGGUGUGGGUCAUUCAGUUGAUCCGUGCCGGAGCUAACGCGUUAAAUAUGCCGCCUGGGGAGUACAGUCGCAAGGCUGA